rnacentral:tRNA from 1 species
AAACUUACUAAAUGCUAGGAAAAUCCGUUGGCUUUAUUGACCGUGAGGGUUCAAGUCCCUCUACCCCCA